GACGAACGCUGACGGAAUGCUUAACACAUGCAAGUCGAACUGAAUUAGGGUUUUAGCUUGCUCUUUUCGUAAUUGAGUGGCAAACGGGUGAGUAACACGUAAACCACCUGCCUUCAGGAUGGGGACAACAGACGGAAACGACUGCUAAUACCGAAUAAGUUCCAAGAGCCGCAUGGCCAUGGAAGAAAAGGUGGCCUCUACCUGUUUGCUAUCCCCUGAAUAGGGGUUUGCGUCUGAUUACCUGGUUGGAAGGAUGACGGCCCACCCUGGCGACGAGAACGGCCCGGUCGGAAAUGAUGAACGGCCCUUACUCAACUGAGACACGGUCCUGACUCCUAUUGGAGGAUGGACUGGGGAAUCUUCCGCAAUGGGCUAAAGCCUGAAUGAACUUUUUCGCAUGAGUGAUGACUGCCUUCUGGUUGUAAAAAUCUGUGAUCCCGGACGAAAAAGCUGACUGCUAAAUACAUACCGGAUUGACGGUACCUAAAAAUGAAGCCACGGCUAACUACGUGCCAGCAGCCGCGGUAAUACCUAGGUGGUUAGCGUUGUCCGGAAUUAUUGGGCGUAAAGCGCGCCCAGGCGGCUUCCCAAGUUCCUCUUAUAAGUGACUGGCUUAACCCCGUGAUGGGAAGGAAACUGGGAAGCUGGAGUAUCGGAUAGGAAAGUGGAAUUCCUAGUGUACCGGUGAAAUGCGUAGAUAUUAGGAAGAACCCCGGUGGGCGUAGGGACUUUAUGUAUUAAACUCACUCUUAGGCACGUAAGAAGUGGGAAUCAGAUGAUAAAUACUCCUUUCUUUAGGUCACUCUCCGCGGGUGAAUAAAAAAAAUAGUCCCGCGGGAUUUUUUUACUAUAAAAUG
rnacentral:rRNA from 1 species